UAAGAGUUUGAUUCUUGCUUCAUUCUUGCAAAUUGGGGGCAUUUAUAUGAAAAAUGUAAUAUGUGAGAUAAAGUAGUAUAGAAUAUUUAUUUUAGAUUUUCAGUGUUAAAAAUUGAUUUAUAAAUGAAAUUUUAAUUCAGCCCUUUAAUAAAAACUGAGGUUAAAUCUGUGCCAGCAGCCGCGGUUAGACUAAUAUGGUUGUAAGAAUAGUUAGAUUUGUAGUUAAAAUUAAAUUUUAUACACAAGCGUUAUGAAAAUGAAAAGUGAAAUUUAUUAUUUUUUAGUAACAUUUGGAAUUUUAAAAUUAUUUUGAAGCUAUGAAGAUUAAAAUUUAAAAUAGGAUUAGAUACCCUACUAUAUUUUUUUAAAAAUACACAAGUCUGAUUAGUAACAGUUAUGUUCUUGAAAAUUAAAGAAUUUGGCGGUACUUUAGUCUAGUUAGAGGAACCUGUCUCGUAAACGAUAGUCCACGAAAAAUCUUACUUCUUUUUGUAAUUCAGUAUGUAUACCGUCAUUAUUAAGCAGUUUUAAAAGGAACUUGCUACAAUAGCUAUUAGUUAGAAUAUUAGAUCAAGGUGCAGCCAAUAUGGAAGAGAGGAUGGGUUACAAUAAUAUUUAAUUAUCGCGGAAUAGAAAAUUUAUUUUUUCUAUUAAGAUGGAUUUAAUAGUAAUAAAAUUAUAAUAAGGUUUUAUGGUAAAAGCUCUAUAGUGUGUACACAUCGCCCGUCGCUCUCAUUAAUUAACGUGAGAUAAGUCGUAACAAAGUAGGUGUGCUGGAAAGUGCACCUAGAAAAAU
rnacentral:ncRNA from 1 species